ensembl:misc_RNA Metazoa_SRP Metazoan signal recognition particle RNA
GCCAGGUACAGUGGCUCCCACUUGUGGUCUCAGCUACUCAGGAGGCUGAGGUGGGAGGAUUGCUUGAGCCUGAGAGUUCUGGGCUGUAGAGACUAUGCCGACGGGGUCAGGAUGGUCCAGGGAGUGGAGUAGCACCAGUUGCCUAAGGAGGGGUGAACUGGCUCAGGUCAGAAGCAGAGCAGGUGAAAACUCCCGUGCUGAUCAGUAAUAGGAUUGCGCCUGUGAAUUGCCAUGGCACUCCAGCCUGGGCAGCCAGGCAAGACCUCAUUUCUU